UGGGGAAUAUUGCACAAUGGGCGCAAGCCUGAUGCAGCAACGCCGCGUGAACGAUGAAGGUCUUCGGAUCGUAAAGUUCUGUUGCAGGGGAAGAUAAUGACGGUACCCUGUGAGGAAGCCCCGGCUAACUACGUGCCAGCAGCCGCGGUAAUACGUAGGGGGCUAGCGUUAUCCGGAUUUACUGGGCGUAAAGGGUGCGUAGGUGGUCUUUCAAGUCGGUGGUUAAAGGCUACGGCUCAACCGUAGUUAGCCUCCGAAACUGGAAGACUUGAGUGCAGGAGAGGAAAGUGGAAUUCCCAGUGUAGCGGUGAAAUGCGUAGAUAUUGGGAGGAACACCAGUAGCGCAGGCGGCUUUCUGGACUGCAACUGACACUGAGGCACGAAAGCGUGGGUAGCAAACAGG
rnacentral:rRNA from 1 species